rnacentral:lncRNA from 1 species
UUCUAUCAUUUCUCGGUACUCACAUUGAUUCGACCAUUUUUUUGUAAUAGCCGGGAAUGGUUUUCGAUACUCGCACGGAUUCUUCCUUUUCCCGGUACUCUUCCGGAUUCUACUAUUUUUUGGUGCUCACACUGAUUCGACCCUUUUCCGGUACUCGUCAGGACAAUUUUUCAAUACUCGCAUGGAUUCUACCUUUUCCCGGUACUCGCCGGAUUCUAUCAUUUUUCGGUACUCACAUUGAUUCGACCAUUUUUUUCUAAUCGCCGAGACAGUUUUUCGAUAGUCGCACGAAUUCUACCUUUUCCCGGUACUCUCCCGGAUUCUACAAUUUUUCGGUACUCACACUGAUUCGACCCUUCUCCGGUACUCGUCAGGACAAUUUUUCAAUACUCGCAUGGAUUCUACCUUUUCCCGGUACUCGCCCGGAUUCUAUCAUAUUUCGGUACUCACAUUGAUUCGACCAUUUUUUUGUAAUAGCCGGGACUGGUUUUC